GCCGCGGCUGAGCCGGCCCGGGGGGGCACGGACGGGCCGAGGGGGCGGAGCCCCGCGGGGGCCGAGCGCUGCCCAGGGUGCCCGCGGGCUCUCCCAGCCCCUCGGGCGCAGCCCGGCCCGGCUGUCGGGCGCCCGGUCCCCGGGCCGUGCGGAGAGGCCCCGUCCGUGGGGCAAGGCUCGGCUGCAGCUCCUGCAGGAGCCCUGACACCGCGGCCCCGUGACUGGUUUGUCCCAGGAGAAAGGAGCCCGGUGCUGCUUCAGCCGCCUCUCGGGAGCGGGAGCUUGGCUGUCAGUGGUUUCCCGGGAUAGACAUCGAGCCAGAGAUAACUUUAGGAUCUGGAAGGGGGGGGCAGUUAUGAUAGUUUUCUACGCUGUUAGUUUACAAAUGCAGCCCUGCGGUUUUGGCCAAAGAGGAGCUCUGUAAAUGCUAAUGGAGUUGGUAACGUUAUCGGAGCCCUCCAAUGGUACCUCCUAUUUUACCAUCCUGCCUUAAGGUGCUUAAAACUUUGUCAAACUCUGUCCUUUGGGGAUGAGACUUUCAGUGCAUCUUUUACCCACAUGUUCUUAAAAUAGCCAAGCAGAUCCAUCAGAGGAGUUGUUUCUCAAUGAAUGGACUAAUGAGUUAAGAUUCAAUAACCUGUUCUUUGGGGAAUACUGUUCUCAUGUUUUCCCGCUGGUCUGGUGUUGGCACUAGAGAAGGAGAAGUAUGUUCAUGGGGUGGUGUGUUUAAAGCUGGGUAGUUCUGGUAAUGUGUCUUCUGCUUCACUGUACCCAGCCAGUUAAAUCUCUCACUGUCUGUUUGCAUAUGCAUACAAAAAAUGGAGUUUGGCUCUUCAGAAAUCUUGCUGCACUGGAUUUCUUCCAGCACAGAAGUGAUAAGGUGUUGAUAUGGACACAGGGGGUCUCGUUCCUUGUGUCUUCAGUGCUCCUUUUUGUCAUUAGGAAAGAAAAUGUGUGAGAAUGUUCAAGAACCAUAAUAAAUGUCAGUGAAAGCUGAAAAGAAGCUGCAGUUGAACAGGAUCUAGGAGCUGCAAGGAAGGAGGAUGCAAAAGCCAGGAAGAAGAGCUGGAUGAGGAGGCAGGUUGUUGGAGAGGAGCAAAGAUUUAUGUUCCUGUGCGGUUCUCAUUCCGUUGUAGAAGAACUGCAGUUGACUGAGGCUCCUCAGUUGGGAGGACAAGGGCUGGGAAAGAGGAGAUAAAAGCAGAUGGAUAGGGAGUAAGUGCAUAGGGAGGAUGCAGGGUUUUCCUCCUGGGAGGGCAGAGGUGUAUUUUGGGUAAGAGCUGCAGAGCAAAGAUAAAGAGCAAAGACUGGGAUCUGCAGUCAGUAGGCAGAGAUGAGCAGGAUGCAGCACUGAGGGUGGAGAGGUGUGGUAGGUACCCAGUUGGAGAGAAGGGAAGGUUGAUGGCUGGAGAAUGCUCCUGCCAAAGUCAAACACUUCUGGAUCAUGUCAUCACAGUCAUUUAAAAUCAGCCAACCCCCUGGGAACUCCUCUUCCUCUCAAGUACAGGCAUGCAGAGGAAAUGACCAACUCUCCUCUCUCAGCUGAGAUUUGUGGUCCUGCAACUGUUGUAGAGAUUCUUGUCCUGUUGAAGGUGGAUAUUAAUAUGGUAGAGUCACUGUUGUUGUUGAGGUAUCUUACUUUUUUAAAAAAAGAAAGAGAUGUGCACAAUCUAAAAGUCCUUAAAAGUAUCUGGUUACAAAGAUUUUAGGAAGAACAAAACAUUCUUCAUUCUGGUGGUUUAGCCUUUUUCGCUUACCCUUAGAUCUCUAAGGCCUUUUUCAGUUUUGUCUGGUGCAAUAUUACUUCCUGUUAUUAGCUAAUCAUAAGACACUUGCUGUGCUUAUUCUAGGUUUCUUUCAGAACAGCGUAUAUGAAUUGUGAUACUUAGAGCCAAAGAGCACCCAUCACAGUCUUCAGUAAGUUAGGCUGCUGAUAGGUGAUAGCAUAUAUUUCUAAUUACCCAUUUUGUUCUUCUCUAAGCCUGCUCUCCUCUUCUGAAGUUCUGCCUGAACUCCUGACUCUGUGAAAAUGCAUACAGGAUUUUAGACACGAGUCGUCUUCUUGAUGCUAAUCUAAUGCUUGAUUCUGUUUCCUACUUGCUAAUUCCCUUUUUUCCCCCCAUCAUUUUAGUGUUUUAAAAACAUUCAGUUCUUUUUUAAAGCAGUUCACCAAUGUCCUAAAACUUCCUGAAAUUUGAUAGAAAGAAAUAGUCCAGAACUUUUGGUCAUCUGUUAUAAAAAGUGUCUAAUUCUUAAUUUACAUCUGUGUCUUGGAACGGAAUUGUUUUAGUAGUGUAGUGCUAUUGCAGACACAGUUUUCAGUUGAAUGUGUUUUUUCCUCCCGCAGGGAUUCUCUUUCAUAUGGUUUUCUGUCUGGAUCUGCUCAGGGAAUGAAUGAGGAAUGUGUGAUGAAAGAGGGCAGUUAUUUGUAGGACCUCUUCAUAUCUUUGAAUGAAGGAAGGUGUAUAAGGAAUUAAGUGAAGAAUGUAGGAAGAAAAAGAGUGGCCUCCUGUUUGAAGCAGUUGAAUACCACUCUGACAAAAUGUUUUUGCAGCAGAAAAAUAUGCACAUUCCUUCUGUGCUGAGCAUCCUGACAGAGAAACUCCAUGUCUUGUCUACUCUGAUCACCUUCAUUCCUUUAUCCUACACUGAAGCUGUCUCUUCAAUGACUACACCGAGCCAAAGGAUUCAGGGAAUGGGAGACAAGGAAUGUGUCUUGUUCCACUUCUCUUCUUCCUGAGUGUUUUUCUCCAGUGGCUGAAUUUAAGCAUAAAAAGAUUUCCAUCUCUUCAAAUAUUGUCCUCCUUCUAGUUUCUAAACCAUUUUAUGCCUGGUUCUGAGGGGAGAAAGCGAGAUAAAAAAGUGCUUUCCCUCUAGCAGUAACGCAGUGCAGCUUUAGUGAGGGAAAACCUAUGGGUGCAAAGGAGUUAGAGAUGUAGAAAGGAAUGGAGGCGGAAGAAGAAGGAAGAAAACAGUGUUUUGGGAUUAAAAGAUGGAAUGUGCAUAAAGACUCCUGAGAAGAGUUUGCACUUGCUUGAAAUUGAGUUAGUGUGCUUUGCUCAGCGUUGCCUCUUGUACGGGAUUAGAAAUACUGUUGUGGAGACUUUGAAGGGGAGAAAGGGAUCGUGUGAUUCACACAGGUUUUCCAGAAGGUGAGAUGCAAACCCUGAGUUUUCUUCAUGUUUGGAAGUUUCAAGAGGACUGUAGAGCUCCUUUGUGAAAGGCAUCGUCUAAGCACACAUACUCAGAAAACAGUCCCAAAUCAAGUCUCUGUCUAUAUGUGAGUGUGCCAUGAGGGUAGGGAUUGUCUUUACAGUAGAGGGAACUGCUGUGCAACCACCUGUGUUUUCUACCAUCAGUGCUUCCCUGUUUACCCACCUCAUGGGUGCCAGAAUAAACUAAGUGUACUUAGUGACAACACAUUAAUCAUUUUUUAUGGCAACAUACCAAGGCAUGUAUUUCUCCUCAACAACAAGAACUGUUUCCAUCUUCCCUCACCUCAAAACCCUGAGGAACUAAAGCCAGCAUUUCAUCUAAAUUAGACCUAAACACUUGGGAGAGUCAUGAGCAGCAGGAGUAGCAGGUAACCUUGGUGAGCUUGAGAGGCAAAAAGAUGUCACAGGCCUGGCUGCUCAGAUGGCUGCAUUAUAUUAAUUCUGUUGCCCUGGAGGCCACCAGUCAGGACCUGUUCCAGGAGCAGGCACUAGGACAUAUCUGCCUCAGUGCCGAGGGUGAUGGAGACAACAGGCUUAGAUGAGGAGAGCUCAGCUGGUAAGUUAACGUGGUUCUAUGUGAUCAAUGUUAAAACCUUGGGUUUUCCCCCUUUUUUACACUGGUUAGGGAGGCAUCGAGUUUCCUUUGCUCCUUCUAUUUGCAUGUAUCAGUAGGCACAUAGAGAUGCACCAGUUCAUGGCUUGUCACUGCUAGAAAACUUAAGCCAGCAUAAGCACAGAGCAACAGAAGCAGCACAUGCCCUCAUGGAAGUCAUCUACUUUCUCCUACAACCGACGUGGGAAUGUCCUUUCGUUCUUCGAUAACAUUAGCUAGCCCAGUAAAAUGGGAUUAUUCUUUUGGAAUAGCUACAUCUGCCUGGAUUUCCCUCUGUAUGGCUUCAUCACAUGGGGGUGCGAUGGGUAUCAUCAUCUUAAUGCUCUUAGAGGACAUGGGUGUGAUGUCGGAAAUUGCUGUAGGCGAGCCCUUGAUUCCUUCCCAGACCUGGCAGUGUUCCAAAUUCCCCAGCAGUUCUUUUAUCUCUCACUUUCCCUACCUUCAUUAUUCUUAUCCCCUCCCCAGUGUAGCGUGCAGCCAUACCCCCUUGUCCCUGCCUCUCCGGUUUCUGACAUCAUUCUUCAGAAAUGCAAGUGUCUCAGUAAAUGGUUUCUAUACUUGUCACUGCUUUAGUGUAGUGAAAGAUGCCUUUCACCUUACUGAGACUGUGGAUUAGUUACACCUGUGAUGCACCACACAUGAUCUAUGGAAAAUUACAAAAGAUUUCGUGCAGAGGAGAGAAUUUGGUGAUUCAUAGGCAUCAUUUGUUUCUGUGUGAAAGCUACUGGCACAGCCCACGCUGAGCUGAUACAUUUAAUGACCAAUUCAUUUAGAAUUGAUUUUGUUGUUGGCUGAUACUUUUAUUGGAGCCGAUACAAGAUGGCUUUACAUGGCAAAGUAUGCUGUGUUUUCUCUGUAUUUCUUCACUUACCCAACUGCAAAUCUGAUGUCAUUGUUUUGGCAAACAGCCCUGUGAUCUCUUUGGUGGUUUUCCCUUCCUUUGGAGGUCUGUGGCAGGCUGGAAAUGCCAGGAGUGUUGCUAGUCUCAUCUACUGUGUCAGUCUUCCAAGUCCUCCAAGCUUCUGAAAUCAAGGUUGAUCUUUAACAAUAAAGAUGCCUUUGCUGAGACUUAACAACAUUGCCUGCUAUCCUGGCUGUGGAUGCUGUAGCAUUGAGCUACUGUAAUAAGAAAACAACAAAAAGAGCCCUCCCUCCUUGAGAAAAGGGCCCACACUUUGCGGGGAGUAUUGGGGUUCUAUGGCUGACUGUCACUGACAUUGACUGUCACUGCUGACUGAUGCCCAUUUCUUUGGACAAUGCCUGAAGUAGAUGUGCUUGGGUGGACUGGUGUGCAGCACAUUGGCCCAAAGCUUGGGAUAUAUGAUAUGGCCACAGAAUUCCUGGGUGGCUGUGGCUAAAUGAAUCUGCCAUGCACCUGAGCACCCUCUUUGUAAAACUGUAGGUAGGAUUAUCCCUUACCAAAGUGUUGUGAGGAUAAUGUUUUUAUUGCAGCAGGGCUGAGCCAUCUCUGAAAAGAGGGAAAAGGAUACAUUGUGCUCAAGCACCAAUUUGAAUAAACUGCGUAGGAAGGUGAUUGGUUACUUGGGAACGCAGGACAGAGUAGAAGCAGUAGUUUAAAAGGGUAAAACACUCUGAAAGGAGGGAUAUAAAACACCCUGCCCCCUAAUGAGGGAGCAAGGAAGCUCCUGAAGAUUGCUGCUAGCCAGUUGUCCUGCGAUAUACUUCAAGUGCUACAAAAUUAUGAGAAUCGCGGAGUACCGAAAAGUCCGAUGUGCUUCCCCAGCAAGAUCCCAGCCAGUUUGCUGUCUUGGGGGGCAAAGAACUUACCUUCUCAUUGUGGCACGAGCAGGAAUUUUUUAAUUGUCUUCAGCAAUGUGGUGUCUAAAGUGUUUGCUGAAAUCUAAGCUGUUCAAUAAAGCAACCGUGGCUACGUUUUAAAA